ACGGAGAUUACAGGCGGAAGUUUUCGGAUGGAAGCUUGUAAACUUAGUGGCGGACGGGUGAGUAACACGUGAGCAACCUGCCUAUCAGAGGGGGAUAACGAUUGGAAACGAUCGCUAAUACCGCAUGACAUAGCGGAACCGCAUGGUUCUGUUAUCAAAGAUUUUAUCGCUGAUAGAUGGGCUCGCGUCCGAUUAGAUAGUUGGUGGGGUAACGGCCUACCAAGUCGACGAUCGGUAGCCGGACUGAGAGGUCGAACGGCCACAUUGGGACUGAGACACGGCCCAGACUCCUACGGGAGGCAGCAGUGGGGGAUAUUGCACAAUGGGGGAAACCCUGAUGCAGCGACGCCGCGUGAGGGAAGACGGUCCUCUGGAUUGUAAACCUCUGUCUUCGGGGACGAAACGAGACGGUACCCGAGGAGGAAGCCACGGCUAACUACGUGCCAGCGGCCGCGGUAAUACGUAGGUGGCAAGCGUUGUCCGGAAUUACUGGGUGUAAAGGGAGCGUAGGCGGGCAGGCAAGUCAGGCGUGAAAUAUAUCGGCUCAACCGGUAACGGCGCUUGAAACUGCAGGUCUUGAGUGAAGUAGAGGUUGGCGGA
rnacentral:rRNA from 1 species